UAUUAUUAUUUUAUUAUUACAACUUUAUUUCAAUACGGAGCUAUUUCACAAUAUUAAACUAACUAAAUAUAUACAGAGAGAAAACAAAAUGAGUGAUCUUCCAAUAGGCCGUAUAUAUAAAAAUUAUUAUUACUUUCGUUGCAAUUAAAGCUUAUUUUUGAAACAUUGGAUGGUUUGAGAUCUCUUAAGAUCACAAGGUAAACUAUUCCAAGCCACCGCACCCCUGUAACUAAAUGAUUUUUUCUUGAAAUUAGUGUUUGGUUUAGGUGGAAAAUAAUUUUGCACCUGUCUCGUUUCGUAAUUGUGUACGUCAUCGGUUGAAAUAAAUUUGAUAUGGAGCGAGGAACAAAUUGAAUUUCUAACUUUGAACAUUAGUGUACCAAGUUGUUGGUUCCUACGAGUCUCCAGAUUGUCAAGGUUUAGGUGUUGUAGAAGAACACAGGAGCGGACAUCAUAUCCACACUUAGUGGUAAUGCACGCAGCUCUGUUUUAUAAACGCUGCAGUUUAUCAGAAAGUGUGGAGCCGAGG